ACUCCUACGGGAGGCAGCAGUGGGGAAUAUUGCACAAUGGGCGAAAGCCUGAUGCAGCGACGCCGCGUGUGGAUGAAGGCCUUCGGGUUGUAAACCCCUUUCAGUAGGGAAGAAGCGAAAGUGACGGUACCUGCAGAAGAAGCGCCGGCUAACUACGUGCCAGCAGCCGCGGUAAUACGUAGGGCGCAAGCGUUGUCCGGAAUUAUUGGGCGUAAAGAGCUCGUAGGCGGUUUGUCGCGUCUGCCGUGAAAACCCAACGCUUAACGUUGGGCUUGCGGUGGGUACGGGCAGGCUAGAGUGCGGUAGGGGUGACUGGAAUUCCUGGUGUAGCGGUGGAAUGCGCAGAUAUCAGGAGGAACACCGAUGGCGAAGGCAGGUCACUGGGCCGCAACUGACGCUGAGGAGCGAAAGCAUGGGGAGCGAACAGGAUUAGAUACCCUGGUAGGCGUAG
rnacentral:rRNA from 1 species